rnacentral:rRNA from 1 species
UGGCGGCAGGCCUAACACAUGCAAGUCGAGCGGCAGCGGGAAAGUAGCUUGCUACUUUUGCCGGCGAGCGGCGGACGGGUGAGUAAUGCCUGGGAAAUUGCCCAGUCGAGGGGGAUAACAGUUGGAAACGACUGCUAAUACCGCAUACGCCCUACGGGGGAAAGCAGGGGACCUUCGGGCCUUGCGCGAUUGGAUACGCCCAGGUGGGAUUAGCUAGUUGGUGAGGUAAUGGCUCACCAAGGCGACGAUCCCUAGCUGGUCUGAGAGGAUGAUCAGCCACACUGGAACUGAGACACGGUCCAGACUCCUACGGGAGGCAGCAGUGGGGAAUAUUGCACAAUGGGGGAAACCCUGAUGCAGNCAUGCCGCGUGUGUGAAGAAGGCCUUCGGGUUGUAAAGCAC